ensembl:piRNA 21ur-2325 ncRNA
UAUUAGAAGGAACGGCGGACA